UGUCAGGGACGAUUGAUGUGUUCUUCCCGCUCCAGAGACAAGGAGGCAGAAACCGGUUCACUGCCACUAACACCUCGGCGACACUUUAGCGGCAAAGCCAAGAGGGACACCACGCAGAUGAAGAAACUGAGGCAUAACAAGUGAAAUAAUGUGUCAAAGGGAACAUAGCUCAUCUAUGGUAACACUGUAGUUAUUACGGUCUCUAAGAGGAUCUCUUGUGCUCAAGGAAGGUGGUUCUUUAUUGCAACCCUUAAGAAGAACCUUCAUUUUAAAAAUAAAAUAACGAAGAAGAAAAACAAUUUCAUAAAGCAGUUCUGGAA